CAGCCUGAUGCAGCGACGCCGCGUGAGGGAUGACGGCCUUCGGGUUGUAAACCUCUUUCAGCAGGGACGAAGCGAAAGUGACGGUACCUGUAGAAGAAGGACCGGCCAACUACGUGCCAGCAGCCGCGGUAAUACGUAGGGUCCGAGCGUUGUCCGGAAUUACUGGGCGUAAAGAGCUCGUAGGUGGUUUGUCGCGUUGUUCGUGAAAACUCACAGCUCAACUGUGGGCGUGCGGGCGAUACGGGCAGACUUGAGUACUGCAGGGGAGACUGGAAUUCCUGGUGUAGCGGUGGAAUGCGCAGAUAUCAGGAGGAACACCGGUGGCGAAGGCGGGUCUCUGGGCAGUAACUGACGCUGAGGAGCGAAAGCGUGGGGAGCGAACAGGAUUAGAUACCCUGGUAGUCCACGCCGUAAACGGUGGGUACUAGGUGUGGGUUUCCUUCCUUGGGAUCCGUGCCGUAGCUAACGCAUUAAGUACCCCGCCUGGGGAGUACGGCCGCAAGGCUAAAACUCAAAGAAAUUGACGGGGGCCCGCACAAGCGGCGGAGCAUGUGGAUUAAUUCGAUGCAACGCGAAGAACCUUACCUGGGUUUGACAUGCACAGGACGCUGAUAGAGAUAUCAGUUCC
rnacentral:rRNA from 1 species